rnacentral:rRNA from 1 species
AAUGAACGCUGGCGGCGCGCCUAAUACAUGCAAGUCGAGCGAGAAGACGUAGCAAUACGUUUGUAAAGCGGCGAACGGGUGAGGAAUACAUGGGUAACCUACCCUCGAGUGGGGAAUAACUAGCCGAAAGGUUAGCUAAUACCGCGUACGCUUCUUGGACUUCGGUUCAGGGAGGAAAGCGAUGCCGAGGGUAUCGCGCUCUUGGAUGGGCUCAUGUCCUAUCAGCUUGUUGGNGAGGUAACGGCUCACCAAGGCUUCGACGGGUAGCUGGUCUGAGAGGACGAUCAGCCACACUGGCACUGCGACACGGGCCAGACUCCUACGGGAGGCAGCAGUAAGGAAUAUUGCGCAAUGGGCGAAAGCCUGACGCAGCGACGCCGCGUGGGGGAUGAAGGUCUUCGGAUUGUAAACCCCUUUCGGGAGGGAAGAUGGAUGGGGUAACCCAUUCGGACGGUACCUCCAGAAGCAGCCACGGCUAACUUCGUGCCAGCCGCCGCUGUAAG